AAUGAACGUUGGCGGCGUGGAUUAGGCAUGCAAGUCGAGCGAGAACCCAGCAAUGGGGGACAGCGGCGCAAGGGACAGUAAUGUGUAGAUCAUCUGCCCUCAGGCCCGGGAUAGCUGCGGGAAACUGCAGGUAAUACCGGAUAACAUCUCCGGAUCAAAGGUGUGAUUCCGCCUGAGGAUGAGUCUACAUCCUAUUAGCUAGUUGGCAGGGUAACGGCCUACCAAGGCGAUGAUGGGUAGCGGGUGUGAGAGCACGACCCGCGUCAUUGGGACUGAGACACUGCCAAGACACCUACGGGUGGCUGCAGUCGAGAAUCGUCGGCAAUGGGCGCAAGCCUGACCGAGCGACGCCGCGUGCGGGAUGAAGGCCUUCGGGUUGUAAACCGCUGUCAGAGGGGAUGAAAUGCAGGUGGGUUCUCCCAUCUGUUUGACAUAGCCUCAGAGGAAGGACGGGCUAAGUUCGUGCCAGCCGCCGCCGUAACAC
rnacentral:rRNA from 1 species